CUUCUUUCUUUAUUAUAGAUCAACCUAGUUUCUCACCAACCUAAAACAAUACCACCUCUUCAGCAAGAGGGACGACGUGGGCUGUCAACUACAAGCUUGCCUCUGAUAGAGUGACAGAGACGAAAUGAGAACAUAUGCAUGCUAAUAAUUUUUGUCCUGUAAACAAAAGGACCAAACAGACACAGUCUGUGACCUUGGAGUGCACGUGUUCUAGAGGGAGGAGCCGGCCAGGCAGUCCAAACAGAUACUGAGGGCUUCCAAAGGCCAUGGCACGGUUCUCAGGGCUGAGCUGGCUUCGGCACAGCCUGAUCUAGUGUGGAUCCCGGGGACAAAGGGACAGAAUGGGAACUUAAGUUUUACUGGGCUGGACAGAUACAUUGGAGGUCCCGCGGUACUUUGCGUGCCCUCCCAAAUGCCACGCUGAGAUAUAAAACUGUGGCUGGCUUGUCUUCUACUCAAAGAGAGCGAACGGGGAGUGGGUCCCAAAGAAUCACAGGGUGGGGCGUGCACGGGCCUCUAAAAUGUUGUUCUGAAUGUUGAGUUUUAAAAGCUCUGGAGUUCAGGUACUGCUUUGUGGCCUCUCAUCAUGCUGGUCUUCACACCAUGCAAAUAAAACAGGCACGAGAUUUCCCCCAAAGUUAGCAAUCUCCUGUGAGUCAUUUCGCAGGAACUUGGUGGCAGCCACUUGGCUGAAAGCAGCUGUGAGGAGGAAUGUCCAGGCGGAGUGGCCGCAGCCACGGGUGUGGUUGUGAGUGUGGCUGGAGCCUGGAGACAGGCUGUGGGUGUGGUCACAAACAGGGGCGUGGCAGUGGGUGUGUCCGGGCCGGGGCAUGCUGUGGGCGUGGCUAUCGGGCUCAAGGGGUUAACCCCGGGAGACCCUGCUGGCUGGCCUCAUCUCAGGAACCGCAGGGACUUGAAAAACCGUGCUCUUGGUCCCCCAGAGCAGGGAUAUCAUGAUGCCAUGGCAGACACAGCCCAGCAGCCCACAUGGACCUUCCAACCUGGGGGGCAAGUAAGUGAAGGGAAUACUGCCUUGUGAUUUCAUUUACAGAAGAUGGGCCUGAAGGGAAAACCAGCUAUCUGUAAAUCUUAUGGGGCGUGGGGGGAGGGUGUUAGAAUUAACUGGAAGGAAGCCAGGAUGGAGAUAUUAGAUUAGCAUAUAAACACCAUAUAAGUCUAGCAAAUAGCUACAUAAUC
rnacentral:lncRNA from 1 species